rnacentral:rRNA from 1 species
CACCGCGGUUAAACGAGAGGCCCUAGUUAAUAAUAUUACGGCGUAAAGGGUGGUUAAGGAGCACGAUUAAAUAAAGCCGAACAGCCCCCCGGCCGUCAUACGCUUCCGGGAGCUGGAAGUCCAACCCCACGAAAGUGGCUUUAGUGAAAUUUGCCUGACCCCACGAAAGCUGAGGGA